UUAAAUUUACCUUUUCUUACCAUUUAUAGAAAGUACUAUUUACUACUUUAUAUACUAUUUAUAUGGCUUCCCUUAUUUAUUUUACUUUUCAGAGUUUCAGAGAAAAGUUAUGUUCCAACUUGUUGAAAUUAAAAACAUUUUAGUAAAUAAAACUGCACAGUUCUCUAAUGAUCUAGAAAGUUAUAAACAACUUAAAAGUUCAGAUAAACUUAAUGUUUUGAAAAGAAAAAUUGCAUAUGGAGAUAUCCAAUACAUCACUUUUGUAAAACAGUUAUCAUUAUUUGGUGGUAAAAAUUCAGUUGAUACAAUUAAAAAUAUUUUGCUCUUACUGACAACAGACACUAUUUUCAGAAUUUAGCAUGAAUGGUCUAAAGAAGAAAAAAAAGUUUAAAAAGUUGACAAGUUAAUGUAUAACUAUCACUGAUGCUGCCUCAAAGUCAAAUAAAAGCUUAACCAAAAUGGAUUUCAUGCAACUUAUUGGAAGAUUAAUUAGACAUUCUUCCUACCAAUUCAAGAGAAAAUCCACCAAUAUCAAUAUUGAUCAAUGAUGACUUAAUUAACUUGAGUCAACUUGUGUUUUUUAUUUAUUUUGCAUUUUUCAGUAAUUUUCUUUUUACUUAUAAUAUACUAUCGAUUAAACUUUACAAAGUAUAUUAAUU